rnacentral:tRNA from 1 species
AGGAUAAUAGUUAAAUUUAACAUUUAAAUUGCAAUUAAAAAAUAUUGAUGAUCAAUUUAUCUUA